ACAGACGCAGAUGGAUCAAGAGGGUUCAACGUUAAGGUUUUCUUUCAAAUGUCAGGUAGGGCAAGUGAAAACAAAUUCUAAUUGCCCAAAGUCAACUUUUACUGGCCCCUAUACAAAUAGUGUUUACU